rnacentral:lncRNA from 1 species
GGGGAGGCAGCAGAGGACCAAGGAGAGGCGAGCAGGCGUCCUGAAUGCGAGUCGUGGUCCCGGGCACAAGAGAAAAAAGAGAGAGAGAGAGGAGAGAGAGAGAAAGAAAAAAGCCACUGGGCGAUUGAAAUGGUCGCAUUGAGAUGCGUGGAGCCGGCUGCAGCGCGCGGACUCACUCAAGGGGUCAAGUGACGGACGGAUUGUUCGCUCCUUCAUAAUAAUAUUAAUUAAACAAUUUGCAUGCUAAUAAGGUAACAAUUAUCAGGGCCUCU